ACUUUGUCCAUGAUGUAAUCUUUAUUGAACCUGGAAGCUUGGGGGUGGGGGGCAGGGGGCAAGCGAAACUCGCUGCCGCUGCUUGCUGCCGCCGCUGCCGCUCAGCCGCAGGAAGCCCUGGGAGUUAAUAUUGCAGUCAUCAUAGGCAGAGCUGGCUGCUUUGGCAUGUAGCAGUCCUGUGGUUUUGAGAGCUUCGUUCUCUGCCUGGAGGAGGGUUCCUAAAUUUAAGGUGGCAUCUUUAGGAGGCUUUGGAAGUCAUUCUGGCCAGUGCUCCUGGAAUUACAACCCAAAUUUGCAUCAUUUGGUCUGGAACUUUUCUGGAUUUUUCCCAUGAUUUUUUUCAUCUGGUGGCUGAGACUGAGAGCAAAGCAAACACAGAUCAUUGCAAACACAACUUGACAAUGAUUUCAUAGUUAAUACAUCUUUGAUAAGGCUAUUAAAGGGUGCAUACUGAGAAGAGAAAAA